UACGUAGGGGGCAAGCGUUGUCCGGAAUCAUUGGGCGUAAAGAGCGUGUAGGCGGCCUGGAAAGUCUGGUGUGAAAUCUCGGGGCUCAACCCCGAGCUGUCACUGGAUACUGUCAGGCUUGAAUCCGGAAGAGGAGUGUGGAAUUCCUGGUGUAGCGGUGGAAUGCGCAGAUAUCAGGAGGAACACCAAUGGCGAAGGCAGCACUCUGGUACGUGAUUGACGCUGAGACGCGAAAGCGUGGGGAGCAAACAGG
rnacentral:rRNA from 1 species